rnacentral:rRNA from 1 species
GACGAACGCUGGCGGCGUGCUUAACACAUGCAAGUCGAACGGAAAGGCCCUGCUUUUGUGGGGUGCUCGAGUGGCGAACGGGUGAGUAACACGUGAGUAACCUGCCCUUGACUUUGGGAUAACUUCAGGAAACUGGGGCUAAUACCGGAUAGGAGCUCCUGCUGCACGGUGGGGGUUGGAAAGUUUCGGCGGUUGGGGAUGGACUCGCGGCUUAUCAGCUUGUUGGUGGGGUAGUGGCUUACCAAGGUUUUGACGGGUAGCCGGCCUGAGCGGGUGACCGGCCACAUUGGGACUGAGAUACGGCGCAGUAUCCUACGGGAGGCAGCAGUGGGGAAUAUUGCACAAUGGGCGGGAGCCUGAUGCGGCAGCGCCGCGUGCGGGAUGACGGCCUUCGGGUUGUAAACCGCUUUCGCCUGUGACGAAGCGUGAGUGACGGUAAUGGGUAAAGAAGCACCGGCUAACUACGUG